UACGGAGGGUGCGAGCGUUGUCCGGAAUCAUUGGGCGUAAAGGGCGCGUAGGUGGCCCGGUCAGUUCGUUGGUGAAAGCGCGGGGCUCAACCCUGCGUCGGCCAUGAAUACUGCCGCGGCUGGAGCACUGUAGAGGCAGGCGGAAUUCCGGGGUGUAGCGGUGGAAAUGCGUAGAGAUCCGGAAGAACACCGGUGGCGAAGGCGGCCUGCUGGGCAGUGCUGGACACUGAG
rnacentral:rRNA from 1 species